ensembl:misc_RNA Metazoa_SRP Metazoan signal recognition particle RNA
GCUGGGCAUGGUGGUGCAUGCCCGUAGUCCCAGCUACUUGGGGGGCUGAGGUGGGAGGAUCACUUGAGCCCAGGAGGUUGAGGCUGCAGUGAGCUGAGAUCGUGCCACUGCACUCCAGCCUGGGUGACAAACUGAGACCCUGCCUCAA